rnacentral:rRNA from 1 species
UUGAGGGCCCCGCACAAGCAGCGGAGCGUGUGGUUUAAUUCGAUGCUACACGAAGAACCUUUACCAGGGUUUGACAUACAAGUAGUAGGGAAAGGAAACUGGACCGACCCUUCGGGGAGCUUGUACAGGUGCUGCAUGGCUGUCGUCAGCUCGUGUCGUGAGAUGUUCGGUUAAGUCCGCUAACGAGCGCAACCCUCGUCGUGUGUUAUACGUGUCACACGAUACUGCCGGUAUCAAGCCGGAGGAAGGUGGGGAUGAUGUCAAGUCAGCAUGGCCUUUAUAUCCUGGGCUACACACACGCUACAAUGGCAGAUACAAUAGGUCGCGAAACCGCGAGGUGGAGCCAAUCCUCAAAGUCUGUCUCAGUUCAGAUUGUAGGCUGCAACUCGCCUGCAUGAAGUCGGAGUUGCUAGUAAACGCAGGUCAGCUAUACUGCGUUGAAUACGUUCCCGGGGUUU